GCAUCAUAGCUCAGUGGUAGAGCAUCUACUCUGUAUUCAGAAGGUCUCAGGUUCCAUCCCCGGCAUCUCUCA